UCCAGGGGGUCGACAAAACUGUUUCGGGACACCACAAUAAACGGAGGGCCGACCAGGAUGCAGAAACAGCAGACGGAGUCCAAGGACAGCAGCGCGGCAUCCCAGCCUCAGGCCUGCCCGGAAGGUGUUCGGCCUCAGAAAAUGCCAAUAAGAUGGAAGGUUUUCAAAAUGUAUCUGGAACCAGGGCAUGGGAAAUGACGAAGCCACAAAAGAAGCAAACUGCCCUCAGGAGCAAGAGGAGUGGAGGCCAGACAGAGGACUGGAGCCACAGGACUAGCCUUCCAAGCUUCCCUCCCUCCCACCCCUGGGGCCAGAAUAUCAGAGAUGCUGGGAGCAGUGCAGCAGGUGUCUUCCAAAGACCUCAGAGCAGUAAAGCUCUCCCAGACACCCCUUCAAGAUUGAACUCCAAAGCCCCUGGGGCAGAGACUGGGCACCACCGAGCAAAUACAAAAAUCCACGCUCUGACUCCAGGUGCGGAUGGAGGAGACGCGUCAGGCCUAGAAACAAAAUGAGUAGGAAGCAUUAGAGAGGCUGCCCAUCUGCCUCCCCUGCCUCCCCGCAGAGUAGAGUCAGUGGAAAAACUCUGGCGGAGUCGGCAUCGUGACCUCUUCAAGCCCAUAGCUUUUUCAAAGAGAAGAUGGCAGGUAGCUCGAAACGACAAGAGGGAUGCAAAAUAGAAUGAAACUAAGUUAGAACUGAAAAUGGGCUUAAAACCUUCCAGAGACUCUACCCAAUUCAUUUCACAGACAGAAUCGAGGAAGGGUAGGGAAAAAGCAGGUGCUGCCUCCGCCCAGCGCGCCCAGUGUGUAGCGGGGGGAAAAGGGGCAUUGCUACCUCCCGAGCGAAGAUGGAAGGAGCAGAUAUGACAUAAAUCCCUCGAGGGUCUACAUCUUCAGGGCGAUUCCAAUCUACGGACGGGCUGUGGGAGGAAAAAAAGAAGAAAAACUCAGACCCUUUAAAUUCUCAGAUCUUGUUUUCCCCUACCCAUCACAAAGGGGAACCCAAAGCCAGCUACCGGGUAAGAGAGACCGACCAGGGAGGGAAAUGCAUCAGGGAAUCCAGCCAACUGCACCACGGAGAUGGGUACAAGCAGCCAGCAGCGCAAGGCGUUCGUCUGCGGCGCAGCCCCUCACCUCGGGCCAUCCCCGGGACCCUCCUGCGUCCUUAGGUUGUUGAGUGCAUCAGGGAGUGCGUGGACUGACGGCUCCGGGGUCCCAGCCAGCAAGCGAGACCCAGCAUCCUGGGCGUGGCCACGGCGGCGCACGUGGACCAGCAAGAGCGCAGCGCCGGCCACGCCCGCGGCCACCAGCAGUCCCAGAGCAGGCGGCAAAAGGUAGCGCUGCGGGUCCCCGGGCCUCAGGCCCGGCGGGGCCGCGGGCAACGCGCUUGCGCCGUCGGGGUGCACUGGGAACUCACACCGCGCUCCCAUGUAGCCGGGCGCGCAGGCGCAGACGAGGCCGGAGAAGUGGGCGUAGCAGCGGCCGCCGUGAGCACAGGGGCGCGCGGCGCACGGGUCCGCGCGCUCGCGGCAGUCGCGGCCGCCGAAGCCCAGCGCGCAGGAGCAGCGGUGCGCGCCGCCGCCCUCCACACACGUGCCGCCGUUAGCGCAGGCGCGGCCCGCGCAGUCGUCCAGAUCGUGCUCGCAGCGCGGACCCGCGAAGCCGGCGCGGCAGCUGCAGCGCAGGGCGUGGCCCAGGUCCAGGCAGAGUCCACCUGUGGGGAAGGGAGCAUCAGAGGGCGCAGUCCGGGAGCCGGGGACCCACCUGCCCGCGCUGUUUCCCAGCUCUAUCAUCGCUGCACGGGGUCCCCUUUUUCUCUCUGUCUCUAACUCAAGGGCCAGCGUCUUGGAGUGUGCCAGGAAAGCCAGCUCGCUUCUUUUCUACCUAAUGAAGUUUUGGAAUAAUUAAUUCAGCUCCACCUCUUUGGCU